ACCCGAUCUACUCUAGAUAGAGUGAGGUAUUGGCUUUAGGGCGCGCAAGCGGUCUUUGGCUUGAAUGUAUUAAGGCUGAUGAGUUCCCAGUGGUGGCCUCAAUGUGUGCUAGCGGACAGAUGUUUCGAUGUCACAUUAAGGCUCCAGUGCAAGCUCUGUAGACGGCCUUUGACGAUGAGAAGGAUGUAGUGAUGAUGAUUGUGUGGGGUGAGUGUGACGAUCCGUCGUCCCUCUCAUCUCAUCUCGUCGUCGUUAUAUAAUGAUCAUCAUUUUAUCUA
rnacentral:misc_RNA from 1 species